UACGUAGGGCGCGAGCGUUGUCCGGAAUUAUUGGGCGUAAAGAGCUCGUAGGCGGUUUGUCGCGUCUGCCGUGAAAUCCUCUGGCUUAACUGGGGGCGUGCGGUGGGUACGGGCAGACUGGAGUGCGGUAGGGGAGACUGGAAUUCCUGGUGUAGCGGUGGAAUGCGCAGAUAUCAGGAGGAACACCGGUGGCGAAGGCGGGUCUCUGGGCCGUUACUGACGCUGAGGAGCGAAAGCAUGGGGAGCGAACAGGAUUAGAUACCCUGGUAGUCCAUGCCGUAAACGUUGGGAACUAGGUGUGGGGUCCAUUCCACGGAUUCUGCGCCGUAGCUAACGCAUUAAGUUCCCCGCCUGGGGAGUACGGCCGCAAGGCUAAA
rnacentral:rRNA from 1 species